rnacentral:misc_RNA from 1 species
UGGUUCUCGCAUCGAUGAAGAACGCAGCGAAACGCGAUAGGUAAUGUGAAUUGCAGAAUUCAGUGAAUCAUCGAAUCUUUGAACGCACAUUGCGCCUCCUGGUAUUCCGGGGGGCAUGUCUGUUUGAGCGUCAGUACCCACUCCAACCGCAGUCUUUAAUGACUACAGGCUGGGUCUUGAGACAUGACCUGUCUUUAACGUAGCACGCUUGCGAACUCUUACCCAUUGUUGACGUAGUAUAUUUUCCUCGUCUACUAAAUGGAAAGGAGCCGCCUGAAACUCAAACUUGUAGUUUGACCUCAGAUCAGACAAGGAUACCCGCUGA